AACGAACGCUGGCGGCAGGCCUAAUACAUGCAAGUCGAACGGUGUAGCAAUACACAGUGGCGCACGGGUGCGUAACACGUAUGCAACCUACCUUACAUUGGGGGAUAGCCUUUCGAAAGGGAGAUUAAUACCGCAUAAGACAGUAACUAGGCAUCUAGUAGCUGUUAAAGAUUUAUCGAUGUAAGCUGGGCAUGCGUCCAAUUAGUUAGUUGGCGAGGUAAUGGCUCACCAAGACGAUGAUUGGUAGGGGAACUGAGAGGUCAAUCCCCCACACAGGCACUGAGAUACGGGCCAGACUCCUACGGGAGGCAGCAGUAGGGAAUAUUGGGCAAUGGGCGCAAGCCUGACCCAGCCAUGCCGCGUGCAGGAAGAAGGCGUUAUGCGUUGUAAACUGCUUUUAUACAGGAAGAAACGACCCUUGCGAGGGGCAUUGACGGUACUGUAUGAAUAAGCACCGGCUAACUACGUGCCAGCAGCCGCGGUAAGAC
rnacentral:rRNA from 1 species